GCCACAGCCCAGCCCCCAAAACAUUCUUUUUUUUUUUUUUUUAAAAAGAGAGAGAGAGACAGAGAGACAGACAGAGAGAGAGAGAGAGAGAGAGAGAGAGAGAGAGAAUUUUUUAUAUUUAUUUUCGGCGGACACAACAUCUUUGUUUGUAUGUGGUGCUGAGGAUGGAACCCAGGCCGCACGCAUGCCAGGCGAGCACGCUACCACUUGAGCCACAUCCGCAGCCCCAAAACAUUCUUAUUAUCACUAAUACGGUAUCAUCACAAAAUACUGCCAAUGAAUCAUCAAAUGCAUCAAAAAGAAAACGAGAAGAUGACAAUAAUGAUGAUGAUGAUGAUGACCACUAUGACGACGACAACCACUAUGAUAAUUUGUAAUCUGGCUUUGAUGCGUGUAAUACUUUUUUUUGGGGGGGGGUGGAUACCAGGGAUUGAACUCAGGGGCACUCGACCACUGAGCCACAUCCCCAGUCCUGUUUUGCAUUUUAUUUAAAGACAGGGUCUCGAUGAGUUGCUUAGCACCUCGCUGUGGCUGAGGCUGGCUUUGAACUUGCCAUCCUCCUGCCUCAGUCUCCCGAGCCCCUGGGAUUACAGGUGUGCACUCCCUCACCUGGCCUGCAUACUUGGUCUUAAACCCAUUGUACUGAAAUUAAAGAAGCACAAUGGAAGUUUUCAAGUUGUAUUUUGGAAAACUUAAGUAGUAUUUGAUGAUUAAAUAGUAGUUACUGUUCUUAUCAAUUGAAAUUCUGGAUUUUCUUUAAUAGGACCUGUAAUGGUUUUCAUCAGCCUUUAUAUUUAAAAAAUAAAGUUGUUCAUUGAUUUGUUUAAAAAGACAUUUUAUUAUAUUUUAUAAUAUAUAUUAAUUAUAUAUGUAUAUAUAAAAUAUAUGAUAUAUAUUUUAAUAUAUGUAUGUGU
rnacentral:lncRNA from 1 species